rnacentral:rRNA from 1 species
UACGUAGGGUGCGAGCGUUAAUCGGAAUUACUGGGCGUAAAGCGUGCGCAGGCGGUUCGUUGUGUCUGUGGUGAAAUCCCCGGGCUUAACCUGGGAAUGGCCAUGGAAACUGGCGAGCUUGAGUGUGGCAGAGGGGGGUGGAAUUCCGCGUGUAGCAGUGAAAUGCGUAGAGAUGCGGAGGAACACCGAUGGCGAAGGCAGCCCCCUGGGCUAACACUGACGCUCAGGCACGAAAGCGUGGGGAGCGAUCCGG